UAUUCUAGAUACUGGUCCUUUGUGGAAUAUGUGAUUUGCAAAUAUUUGCUCCUGUGUUGUAGCUUGUCUUUUUAUUCUUUUAACAGGGUCUUUCUCAGAGCAAGUUUGUAAUUUUGAUGAAGUUUGGUUUAACCAUUUUUCCCUUUACAGAUGAUACUUUUGGUGCAAGUCAGAGAAUCCUAGAUUCUGAGAUUUUUCUCCUUAUGUUCUUUUCUAAAAGUGUUGUAGUUUCACAUUUAAGUCCAUGAGUUAAUUUUUGUGUAAGGUGUGAGACAUAGGCCAAGAUUUGGGGGUUUCUUUUUUGGUUUUGGUCUGUGAUUUCUAAUUGUUCUAGCAACAUUUGUUGAAAAGGUUAUCUGGGCCACGAGGCAUGGGAGGAAGGGUGUGCCUUCCUUGCAGCACAGCACAGCCAUCCCUCUGAGAGGAUGCCACCACUUGGGGCCCUGCAGGGGCAUGCUAGCUCAUAGGGCUCCUCCAGGAAAUGUCUUCCUGCACCCACAUUCCUCACUCACCUCCACCUCUCCAGGGACACUCAGCAUCAUCUGUCACUUCACUGGGCUUAGGCUUUCCUUAAAGAAUGGAAGAGCUACUGGGUUCAGGCGCCCAUGGACUUCCCAGCCCGCAAGAAUCCCUCAAGCCACAGGCGUGAGCGAGCCUAGCUCCCUGCUUGAAAGGGGGAGAGAAGGAUGCCUAGAGAAAGAGGAAACAUAAAUGAAUACUUCAGUAUUUUGUCACAGAACUAUUUUACAUGCUAGUUUUUACUUCUGAUGAUUGCCUUAUUAACAAGUGAUAGCAAGAAAAAAUCAGCAGUUACUUUUAUUAAUAUUUUUGUUUAACAAGCAACAUAUAUAGCAGGUAUCAUAUACCAGGUGCUGCUCAGAGCUGUUUAUGAAUACUAAUCCAUUUGGGGCACCUGGGUGGCUCAGUCGGUUGAGCACCCAACUCUUGAUCUCAGCUCAGGUGAUGAUCUCAUAGUUCGUGAGAUCAAGCCCCAUAUCAGACUCGGUGCUGAAAGCCUGGAGCCUGUUUGGGAUUCUCCCUCUUCCUCUCCCUCUUGUGUGAGUGCACACUCUCUUUCUCUCUCUCAAAAUAAAUUAAUAAACAUUAAAAAAAAUGAAUGCUAACCCAUUUAGUUCUCAUAGCAACUUUAUAAGGUAGGUCCUAUAAUUGUCCCCAUUUCACAGAUGAGGAAAAAACGAUGACACAGAGAAAUUAAGUAACUUGCUCAAUCAAGGUCACACAGCUAGUAGUGGCAAAGCCAGGAUUUGAACCCAGUUUGUCUUUAAACAGUGCAAUCCUAAUUACAAUGGCAAUUCCUGAGAAUUCCUCUUGAGAAUUGAAUUUUUUUAAUGUACUUAUUUUUGUAAUUAGAAGCUCAUUUUCCUUUAGCUUGACCUUUAUGACCAAUUUUAAAGAUCACGUCUCUGUUCUCUAAAUCUGUCUUGCAUGCUAUUGACUAAAAAUCACUUAAUCAUUUUGAAAAAUAACCUCUUUCAUCUUUUCAGAAAACAGCUUUCCAGGAGAGCUUUCUCCCUGAUGCUAUCAGAGCCACUAUUUUUCUUAUUUAGCAUUUGUCAAGUGGCUGCAAUUUGAUACGUGGGAGAAGCAAGGUUGAGGUGACACUUGCCAGAAAAUAAAUAAUAGCUGGUUGGUUUCACAACUAACAACACCAUUCUUCAAUUUUCAGGACUUGACACGUGGAAGCCAGCACAGAGGACAACAAAGAAAGAAAGAUAUCACAAGUGUGCGACCUGAAGAGGACCCUUACCCGACCAUGCUGGCACCCUGAUCUUGGACUUCCAGCCUCCAGAACUGUAAGAAAUAAAUUUCCGUUGUUUAUAAACAACCUAGUCUUGGGGCGCCUGGGUGGCUCAGUCAGUUAUGCGUCCAACUUGCA